rnacentral:rRNA from 1 species
GAUGAACGCUGGCGGCGUGCCUAAUACAUGCAAGUCGAGCGAACAGACGAGGAGCUUGCUCCUCUGACGUUAGCGGCGGACGGGUGAGUAACACGUGGAUAACCUACCUAUAAGACUGGGAUAACUUCGGGAAACCGGAGCUAAUACCAGAUAAUAUAUUGAACCGCAUGGUUCAAUAGUGAAAGACGGUUUUGCUGUCACUUAUAGAUGGAUCCGCGCCGCAUUAGCUAGUUGGUAAGGUAACGGCUCACCAAGGCAACGAUGCGUAGCCGACCUGAGAGGGUGAUCGGCCACACUGGAACUGAGACACGGUCCAGACUCCUACGGGAGGCAGCAGUAGGGAAUCUUCCGCAAAGGGCGAAAGCCUGACGGAGCAACGCCGCGUGAGUGAUGAAGGUCUUCGGAUCGUAAAACUCUGUUAUUAGGGAAGAACAAAUGUGUAAGUAACUAUGCACGUCUUGACGGUACCUAAUCAGAAAGCCACGGCUAACUACGUG